GUGGGAGCUGGCUUGCCUGCGAUGGCGCUGGGUCAGCCAGUAAAUAUGGCACUGAUACACCGCUAUCGCAGGCAAGCCAGCUCCCAC
rnacentral:misc_RNA from 1 species